rnacentral:siRNA from 1 species
UAGUCAACUAUUUAAAGAUUUC